rnacentral:rRNA from 1 species
AGCGAACGCUGGCGGCAGGCUUAACACAUGCAAGUCGAGCGGGCACUUUCGGGUGUCAGCGGCGGACGGGUGAGUAACGCGUGGGAACGUGCCCUCAGGUUCGGAAUAACUCAGGGAAACUUGAGCUAAUACCGGAUACGCCCUUUUGGGGAAAGGCUUGCUGCCGGAGGAUCGGCCCGCGUCUGAUUAGCUAGUUGGUGAGGUAACGGCUCACCAAGGCGACGAUCAGUAGCUGGUCUGAGAGGAUGAUCAGCCACACUGGGACUGAGACACGGCCCAGACUCCUACGGGAGGCAGCAGUGGGGAAUAUUGGACAAUGGGCGCAAGCCUGAUCCAGCCAUGCCGCGUGAGUGAUGAAGGCCUUAGGGUUGUAAAGCUCUUUUAUCCGGGACGAUAAUGACGGUACCGGAGGAAUAAGCCCCGGCUAACUUCGUG